GACGAACGCUGGCGGCGUGCUUAACACAUGCAAGUCGAACGGAAAGGCCCUGCUUUUGUGGGGUGCUCGAGUGGCGAACGGGUGAGUAACACGUGAGUAACCUGCCCUUGACUUUGGGAUAACUUCAGGAAACUGGGGCUAAUACCGGAUAGGAGCUCCUGCUGCAUGGUGGGGGUUGGAAAGUUUCGGCGGUUGGGGAUGGACUCGCGGCUUAUCAGCUUGUUGGUGGGGUAGUGGCUUACCAAGGCUUUGACGGGUAGCCGGCCUGAGAGGGUGACCGGCCACAUUAGGACUGAGAUACGGCCCAGACUCCUACGGGAGGCAGCAGUGGGGAAUAUUGCACAAUGGGCGGGAGCCUGAUGCAACAACGCCGCGUGCGGGAUGACGGCCUUCGGGUUGUAAACCGCUUUCGCCUGUGACGAAGCGGGAGUGACGGUAAUGGGUAAAGAAGCACCGGCUAACUACGUG
rnacentral:rRNA from 1 species